rnacentral:rRNA from 1 species
AGUGAUGCGGGGCACGGAAAUCCUC